rnacentral:rRNA from 1 species
UUGAACGCUGGCGGCAUGCCUUACACAUGCAAGUCGAACGGUAGAGGGGCAACCCUUGAGAGUGGCGAACGGGUGAGUAAUAUAUCGGAACGUGCCCAGUCGCGGGGGAUAACGCAGCGAAAGCUGCGCUAAUACCGCAUACGAUCUAUGGAUGAAAGCGGGGGAUCGCAAGACCUCGCGCGAUUGGAGCGGCCGAUAUCAGAUUAGGUAGUUGGUGGGGUAAAAGCCCCACCAAGCCGACGAUCUGUAGCUG